GUAAAAUCCUGAUUUAUAGAGUUUGCCCAUUUCCAUGACGUAGACAUGGACACCAUGUUUGUCCCUCUACUGGGGCCUUUUUCAAGCUACCAACAUGGGACCACAGGCAGAAUUGGGAAGAGAUGUGACCAGUCCCUGGGUCCUCAAUAGCUUGUCUCCAACACACAUCUGGGUUCAGAGCAGGGUAAUGACAGAACCAAGUUUACAAGGACAUUUGAUUUUGCAGCCUGUCUUUCUAAUGUCAUUACAGAGCAAAGCAGUAACUGGUCAUCUGAAGGACUUUAUUAAAAAUAACAAUGCAUUCACAUCUUGCACAGAGAAGGUGGUCAGGGGCCCCCCAGUGGUCGGAAACUCUCCCCCGCCCAGACACCAGGAGUAGCAGCAGCGGCACCACCCCCAAGGACUGGCUCAGGCUUGUGCCUCUGUUUUCUGGUGGCUUGCUCUCAUGUGAAACCGAUUUUGAAUUUGGGUAGAAGACCUCAUCCACCUCUUCCUCCCCACGAGGGCCAUACAUUUCCUGAGCUAUUUUGAGCUCUGCACCUACACGCUAGCAGUAUUUGUCAUAACAGGAAGCCAGUUUCAUAUACUGUAAUCCCCAAACAUGUUGCACCCGCACCCAGGGAGCGUGAGGGGGGCCAGGAGGGUGGUGCGACUAGGCCAGGCCUCCCCCAAGGCCCCAGGCGGUGCCCUGAGCCACCCCAGGGCUGAGUGCCCUGUCUUCCCUCCCAGGCCCAGAAACCUGACUCCAU
rnacentral:lncRNA from 1 species